GUUCCCUCAAGUACAUGAGCCCGUGCAACAAAGAAAGAGCUUCGACUUGCAGAGAGGAAGAAGCCCUAACUUCAUAAGCAAAACCCUCGACCACCCUCCCGAUGGAUCUCGGACGAUUCCAGCAAUUGAGCAAAGGAAAUCGCCUGGGAACCAUGACGCACCAACGUUGAUUUUCAGUUCAGCUUGGUCCGGUGGCUUCCAUCGAGCAAGUACGCUUCGAUUUGGGGGAAAAGGUCUCUUUCGAUUCUGCCAUCUGCGGAAGGUUUUCUGCUGUUCUUGUGCAAGAUCCACUAGAUCCGUUGGUUACGGAGGUUUUGCUCUGAAAAUCAAGUUGUUCCGGGACUUCCAGAUGUUCCAGAGCACCACCGCCGUGAGUUCUCUUUCGGGCUUUGCCAUCCUCAAGACGGUCAUUGUCCCUUGCUAACUUUCCAUAGAUCACCAUUUGGGAAGUAGAUUCCUUUUAGUACUCUGCUCCACAAAGCUGAUGGAGAGUUGGAUAAUCGCCAAGCUUGCUUUCCGAGCAUUACACGAUUAAAGAUGGACAUAGGCAGUUUAAAGAUGGACAUUGCAUAAGUGGGAAUGGCUUGCACAACACUCUUGAUCAAAAUUUCUUUGCCUGCUUUGGGUGCAACCUAAGGAGAAGAGGGCUAUGAUCCAAGCCAAUG